rnacentral:rRNA from 1 species
GACGAACGCUGGCGGCGUGCUUAACACAUGCAAGUCGAACGGAAAGGCCCUGCUUGCAGUGUGCUCGAGUUGCGAACGGGUGAGUAACACGCGGGUGAUCUGCCCCUCACUUUGGGUUAAGCCUGUGAAACUGGGUCUAAUACUGGAUAGGACAUUGCUGUAGGUGGUGUGGUGGAAAGAGAAGUUUCGGUCUGGGAUGAGUUCUCGGCCUAUCAGCUUUUUGGCGGGGUAAUGGUCUACCAAGGCGUCGACGGGUAGCCGGCCUGAGCGGGAGGUCGGCCACGUUGGGACUGAGAAACGGAGCAGACUCCUGGGAGGGGCCGCAAUGGGGCAAAAUGCAGAAUGGGCACCAGCCCGAUGGUGCGGAGGCGCGUGGGGGCGGACGGCCUUCGGGUUGGAAACGCCUUUCAGCCAUAGCGAAGCCCUUGUGGUGACGGUAAUGGAAGAAGAAGCCCCGGCUAACUACGUG